UACGUAGGGUGCGAGCGUUGUCCGGAAUUACUGGGCGUAAAGGGCGCGUAGGCGGCCUCUUAAGUCGAACGUGAAAUCCCCGGGCUCAACCCGGGAACUGCGUCCGAUACUGGGAGGCUUGAAUCCGGGAGAGGGAUGUGGAAUUCCAGGUGUAGCGGUGAAAUGCGUAGAUAUCUGGAGGAACACCGGUGGCGAAGGCGGCAUCCUGGACCGGUAUUGACGCUGAGGCGCGAAAGCUAGGGGAGCAAACGGG
rnacentral:rRNA from 1 species